rnacentral:rRNA from 1 species
GUACACGCUGUGACUAGCAUAUCAAUAAGCGGAGGAAAAGAAACUAACUAGGAUUCCCUUAGUAACGGCGAGUGAAGCGGGAAGAGCUCAAAUUUGAAAUCUUCAAGGUUUUACCUUGACGAAUUGCUAGUUUAAAGAAGUGUUUUCUGCUGGAGUUUUGGUAAAAGUUCUUUGGAAUAGGACAUCAUAGAGGGUGAGAAUCCCGUAUUUGACCAUUAUUUUCAGCUUUGUGAUACACUUUCAAAGAGUCGGAUUGUUUGGGAAUGCAGUCCAAAGUGGGUGGUAAAUUUCAUCUAAAGCUAAAUAUUGGCGAGAGACCGAUAGCGAACAAGUACCGUGAGGGAAAGAUGAAAAGAACUUUGAAAAGAGAGUUAAACAGUACGUGAAAUUGUCAAAAGGGAAGCGUUUGACACCAGUGUUGUUUUCUCGAAAAUCAAUUAAAAAUGGCUCGAUUUUGUAUUGCUGAGACCUUAAAAGCUCACUGUACAUUUUUCGUGUCUUUUUUAAUGCACUUUUCGUUUAACAAGUCAACAUCAGUUUCCUUUUGUUGUAAAAGGGUCAUUGGAAGGUGGCUUUCUUUUCGGAGAAAGUGUUUAUAGCCUUUGGCCUCUGCAAUCGGAGAGACUGAGGUCUGCAGCGUAGACUCUUCGGGGUUAGAUACAUUUGUGCUAAGUUAUAGCUUUUUAUAGACAACUUGUUGACUAUAAUUAGUCUUGUAGCGUACUCGCUUAUGCUAUUUUACCUACGCUUAGGAUGUUGAUCUACAGAGCGAGAGU